AAUAUUUUCGAUCGACUUAUUUUUUUUAGUUUUUAUUGAAUCGUCAAAACAAAAUAAUAAAAAAGUUUAAUUUAUUUUCUAAAACAAAUAAAAAAUGAAAAAAAGUUCAAUACCGAACGGAAAUGGGUCUUAAACAUCCCCUUUUAACAAAACCAGUCAAAAGUGAAGCUGUUCUUAUGAAAAAAAAAAAAAUCAAAAAUCCUCAAAAGUUGGAAAACGGAAAAAAACUCACCUAAAAGUCUCUGGAAUGUCUCGAAGUUCAGUGGAAAUGUAGUAACCAGCUCCAAAUCAUAGAAAUAUUUCGAUUUGUGAAAGCAGAACCUCUAUUAUGGGCUAACAAGCUCCAACGCAAUGUCAUCACAUGCAACGUAGCGUAGGUCGUCGUUACACUAUACCCAGCUAAUGUAAAGAUAUUCGUGUUAGAUGUGAUGUUUUUUCUAAUAAAAGCCAAACUACCUAUAACCUCAUGCUGUUCAAUGAUGUGCAACAAACUUCAAGGGCAAGGAUAAUGUCUGAUAGUCUGGAAACAUACCCCAACGUCAUAAUGACUAUGGAAAAUAGUGGAGAGAAUUCUUGGUUAAACGAUAUACAUUAAAAACAUAAUAUUCACAUGGUUUGAAUCCAAUCAGAUUGUCAAGGUUGGAUGGAAAUGCCUUGACCUUGAGAAAAAAAAAAAGAAGAAUGACAGAGUAAAUAUUGUUUUGAUAUUUGUUGUUAUUGUAUGGGUUCUGCUUAAAGAUC